rnacentral:rRNA from 1 species
AGUGAACGCUGGCGGUAGGCCUAACACAUGCAAGUCGAACGGCAGCACAGUAAGAGCUUGCUCUUACGGGUGGCGAGUGGCGGACGGGUGAGGAAUACAUCGGAAUCUACUUUUUCGUGGGGGAUAACGUAGGGAAACUUACGCUAAUACCGCAUACGACCUACGGGUGAAAGCAGGGGAUCUUCGGACCUUGCGCGACUGAAUGAGCCGAUGUCGGAUUAGCUAGUUGGCGGGGUAAAGGCCCACCAAGGCGACGAUCCGUAGCUGGUCUGAGAGGAUGAGCAGCCACACUGGAACUGAGACACGGUCCAGACUCCUACGGGAGGCAGCAGUGGGGAAUAUUGGACAAUGGGCGCAAGCCUGAUCCAGCCAUACCGCGUGGGUGAAGAAGGCCUUCGGGUUGUAAAGCCCUUUUGUGGGGAAAGAAAAGCAGCAGGUUAAUACCCCGCUGUUCUGACGGUACCCAAAGAAUAAACACCGGCUAACUUCGU